AGUGAACGCUGGCGGUAGGCCUAACACAUGCAAGUCGAACGGCAGCACAGUAAGAGCUUGCUCUUACGGGUGGCGAGUGGCGGACGGGUGAGGAAUACAUCGGAAUCUACUUUUUCGUGGGGGAUAACGUAGGGAAACUUACGCUAAUACCGCAUACGACCUACGGGUGAAAUCAUGGGAUCUUCGGACCUUGCGCGAUUGAAUGAGCCGAUGUCGGAUUAGCUAGUUGGCGGGGUAAAGGCCCACCAAGGCGACGAUCCGUAGCUGGUCUGAGAGGAUGAUCAGCCACACUGGAACUGAGACACGGUCCAGACUCCUACGGGAGGCAGCAGUGGGGAAUAUUGGACAAUGGGCGCAAGCCUGAUCCAGCCAUACCGCGUGGGUGAAGAAGGCCUUCGGGUUGUAAAGCCCUUUUGUUGGGAAAGAAAAGCAGCAGGUUAAUACCCCGCUGUUCUGACGGUACCCAAAGAAUAAGCACCGGCUAACUUCGUG
rnacentral:rRNA from 1 species